rnacentral:misc_RNA from 1 species
GAAAUGCGAUAAGUAAUGUGAAUUGCAGAAUUCAGUGAAUCAUCGAAUCUUUGAACGCACCUUGCGCUCUUUGGUAUUCCUUGGAGCAUGCCUGUUUGAGUAUCAUGAAAUCUUCAAAGUAAAUCUUUUGUUAACUCAAUUGGUUUCUACUUUGGUAUUGGAGGUCUUUGCAGCUUCACACCUGCUCCUCUUUGUUCAUUAGCUGGAUCUCAGUGUUAUGCUUGGUUCCACUCGGCGUGAUAAGUUAUCUAUCGCUGAGGACACUGUAAAAGGUGGCCAAGGUAAAUGCAGAUGAACCGCUUCUAAUAGUCCAUUGACUUGGACAAUACUUUUAUGAUCUGAUCUCAAAUCAGGUAGGACUACCCGCUGAACUUAAGC